rnacentral:tRNA from 1 species
UGCGGUUUAGUGUAAUUAGCACACAAAGUUUUGGUCUUUGGAGUUGAGGUCUUAUCCCUUGAAUCGCAA